rnacentral:rRNA from 1 species
AGUGAACGCUGGCGGUAGGCCUAACACAUGCAAGUCGAACGGCAGCACAGUAAGAGCUUGCUCUUACGGGUGGCGAGUGGCGGACGGGUGAGGAAUACAUCGGAAUCUACUUUUUCGUGGGGGAUAACGUAGGGAAACUUACGCUAAUACCGCAUACGACCUACGGGUGAAAGCAGGGGAUCUUCGGACCUUGCGCGAUUGAAUGAGCCGAUGUCGGAUUAGCUAGUUGGCGGGGUAAAGGCCCACCAAGGCGACGAUCCGUAGCUGGUCUGAGAGGAUGAUCAGCCACACUGGAACUGAGACACGGUCCAGACUCCUACGGGAGGCAGCAGUGGGGAAUAUUGGAAGAGGGGCGCAAGCCUGAUCCAGCCAUACCGCGUGGGUGAAGAAGGCCUUCGGGUUGGAAAGCCCUUUUGUUGGGAAAGAAAAGCAGCAGGUUAAUACCCCGCUGUUCUGACGGUACCAAAAGAAUAAGCACCGGCUAACUUCG